UGGUUUGAAGUACUUCUCCUAGGCCACGGA
rnacentral:piRNA from 1 species